UACGUAGGGUGCGAGCGUUGUCCGGAAUUAUUGGGCGUAAAGAGCUCGUAGGCGGUCUGUCGCGUCGGUCGUGAAAACUUGGGGCUUAACCCUGAGCUUGCGGUCGAUACGGGCAUGACUGGAGUUCGGCAGGGGAGACUGGAAUUCCUGGUGUAGCGGUGAAAUGCGUAGAUAUCUGGAGGAACACCGGUGGCGAAGGCGGCAUCCUGGACCGGUAUUGACGCUGAGGCGCGAAAGCCAGGGGAGCAAACGGG
rnacentral:rRNA from 1 species